rnacentral:rRNA from 1 species
GCAGUCGAGCGAAUGGAUUGAGAGCUUGCUCUCAAGAAGUUAGCGGCGGACGGGUGAGUAACACGUGGGUAACCUGCCCAUAAGACUGGGAUAACUCCGGGAAACCGGGGCUAAUACCGGAUAAUAUUUUGAACUGCAUGGUUCGAAAUUGAAAGGCGGCUUCGGCUGUCACUUAUGGAUGGACCCGCGUCGCAUUAGCUAGUUGGUGAGGUAACGGCUCACCAAGGCAACGAUGCGUAGCCGACCUGAGAGGGUGAUCGGCCACACUGGGACUGAGACACGGCCCAGACUCCUACGGGAGGCAGCAGUAGGGAAUCUUCCGCAAUGGACGAAAGUCUGACGGAGCAACGCCGCGUGAGUGAUGAAGGCUUUCGGGUCGUAAAACUCUGUUGUUAGGGAAGAACAAGUGCUAGUUGAAUAAGCUGGCACCUUGACGGUACCUAACCAGAAAGCCACGGCUAACUACGUGCCAGCAGCCGCGGUAAUACGUAGGUGGCAAGCGUUAUCCGGAAUUAUUGGGCGUAAAGCGCGCGCAGGUGGUUUCUUAAGUCUGAUGUGAAAGCCCACGGCUCAACCGUGGAGGGUCAUUGGAAACUGGGAGACUUGAGUGCAGAAGAGGAAAGUGGAAUUCCAUGUGUAGCGGUGAAAUGCGUAGAGAUAUGGAGGAACACCAGUGGCGAAGGCGACUUUCUGGUCUGUAACUGACACUGANGCGCGAAAGC